rnacentral:rRNA from 1 species
AUUGAACGCUGGCGGCAGGCCUAACACAUGCAAGUCGAACGAGUGGCGGACGGGUGAGUAAUGUCUGGGCAACUGCCCGAUGGAGGGGGAUAACUACUGGAAACGGCAGCUACUACCGCAUACCAUCGGAUGUGCCCAUAUGGGAUUAGCUAGUAGUGGGGGUAACAGCUCACCUAGGCGACGAUCCCUAGCUGGUCUGAGAGGAGGACCAGCAACACUGGAACUGAUACACGGUCCAGACGCCUACGGGAGGCAGCAGUGGGGAAUAUUGCACAAUGGGCGCAAGCCUGAUGCAGCCAUGCCGCGUGUAUGAAGAAGGCCUUCGGGUUGUAAAGUACUUUCAGCGAGGAGGCGUUACUCGAAGAAGAAGCACCGGCUAACUCCGUGCCAGCCGCCGCGGUAAUUC